rnacentral:rRNA from 1 species
AGGUCACUGCUAUUGGAGUUCGACUAAGCCAUGUGAGUUGACUGGUUCUUCGGAACCAGGGCGAACGGCUCAGUAACACGUGGGUAAUCUACCCUUAGGACGGGGAUAACCCCGGGAAACUGGGGAUAAUACCCGAUAGGUGGAGCGGUCUGGAACGAUGCUCCGCUCAAAGGCUCCGGCGCCUGAGGAUGAGCCUGCGCCCGAUUAGGUUGUUGGUGGUGUAAAGGACCACCAAGCCUGAGAUCGGUACGGGCACUGAGAGGUGGAGCCCGGAGAUGGGGACUGAGACACGGCCCCAGGCCCUACGGGGUGCAGCAGGCGCGAAAACUCCGCAAUACGCGCAAGCGUGACGGGGGAACUCCAAGUGCGCCUACAUUAGUGGGUGCUUUUGCAGAGUGUAAAAAGCUCUGCGAAUAAGAGCUGGGUAAGACCGGUGCCAGCCGCCGCGGUAACACCGGCAGCUCGAGUGGUGACCACUUUUACUGGGCCUAAAGCGUCCGUAGCCGGUCCUGUAAGUCCUUGGGCAAAUCCUACCUUUUAAUGGUAGGAAUUCUGAGGAUACUGCUGGACUAGAGGUCGAGAGAGGUCGGAGGUACUUCGGGGGUAGCGGUGAAAUGCUAUAAUCCCCGGGGGACCACCAGUGGCGAAGGCGUCCGACUAGAGCGAGCCUGACGGUGAGGGUCGAAAGCCAGGGGAGCGAACGGGAUUAGAUACCCCGGUAGUCCUGGCCGUAAACGCUGCGGGCUAGGUGUUGCACGCUCUACGAGGGCGUGCAGUGCCGAAGAGAAGUUGAUAAGCCUGCCGCCUGGGAAGUACUACCGCAAGGUAGAAACUUAAAGGAAUUGGCGGGGGAGCACCACAAGGGGUGAAGUCUGCGGUUUAAUUGGAUUCAACGCCGGAAAUCUCACUGGGGGCGACGGCAGGAUGAAGGCCAAGCUUACGACUUUGCUGAACGAGCCGAGAGGAGGUGCAUGGCCGUCGUCAGCUCGUACCGUGAGGCGUCCUGUUAAGUCAGGCAACGAGCGAGACCCGCACCCUUAUUUGUCAGUAGCUCUCUGCGGAGAGUUAGACCCAUUAAGGGGACCGCUGGCGCUAAGCCAGAGGAAGGAGCGGGCGACGGUAGGUCAGUAUGCCCCGAAUCCCUCAGGCUACACGCGGACUGCAAUGGCUAGGACAAAGGGCCCCGACUCCGAGAGGAGGAAGAAAUCCCAAAACCUAGUCCCAGUUCGGAUUGUGGGCUGAAAUUCGCCCACAUGAAGCCGGAAUCCCUAGUAAUCGCGUGUCAUUAUCGCGCGGUGAAUACGUCCCUGCUCC